UGCCUGGUGGUCUAAAGGUAGGACGGGAGACUUUGACUCUCUAAGUUCUGGUUCGAGUCCAGGCCGGGCAG
rnacentral:tRNA from 1 species